rnacentral:rRNA from 1 species
UGCGUAGGCGGCCCUAUAAGUCAGUGGUGAAAUACAUCCGCUUAACGGUUGAGGUGCCAUUGAUACUGUAGGGCUUGAGUACAGACGAGGUAGGCGGAAUUGACGGUGUAGCGGUGAAAUGCAUAGAUAUCGUCAAGAACACCGAUAGCGAAGGCAGCUUACUAGACUGUAACUGACGCUGAGGCACGAAAGUGUGGGGAUCAAACA